rnacentral:rRNA from 1 species
CCUACGGGAGACUGCAGUGAGGAAUAUUGGUCAAUGGUCGGGAGACUGAACCAGCCAAGCCGCGUGAGGGAUGAAGGUACAGAGUAUCGUAAACCUCUUUUGUCAGGGAACAAAGGCGGGGACGUGUCCCCGGAUGAGUGUACCUGAAGAAAAAGCAUCGGCUAACUCCGUGCCAGCAGCCGCGGUAAUACGGAGGAUGCGAGCGUUAUCCGGAUUUAUUGGGUUUAAAGGGUGCGCAGGCGGUCUGUUAAGUCAGCGGUCAAAGCCCGGGGCUCAACCCCGGCCCGCCGUUGAAACUGGCAGUCGCGAGUUGGAGAGAAGUAUGCGGAAUGCGCGGUGUAGCGGUGAAAUGCAUAGAUAUCGCGCAGAACUCCGAUUGCGAAGGCAGCAUGCCGGCUCCACACUGACGCUGAGGCACGAAAGCGUGGGUAUCGAACAGGAUUAGAUACCCUUGUAGUC